GGGAGAUUAGCUUAACGGUAAAGGGACCGGCUUAUACCCGGUUAAAGCGGAGUCUAGAUAAGGCUCUGUUACUGGUUCGAAUCCAGUAUCUCCCA
rnacentral:tRNA from 1 species